GUCACAGACAUUCAGAUCAUGGCAGAACUGUCACAGAUGUUACUUUGUGAAAACACAAAGAAUAAUGUGUUUGGAGAGAUCAGUCUUCAAUUAGCUAUAUUUUCUAGGAGCCUACCUUUACUUAGCCUCACAACAUGGGCCUUAGCUUUAGCACUUAAUCUGCACAAAUACCUGGCUUAAGUGUUAUGACUGACUGGCUAUUCAACCAAACCAUACAAAUGACCAAUUCGGUAAGAAAGCAUGAACUUCAGUGUUGAACCAAAUCAACCAACCUCCUCAAUCCAAAUGGAGAGGAUAACAAAGGAAGCUGAGGAAGUCUGUUCUGGAGGCACCAUGACAAAGCACCAGACAGAAAGCAGUCACGUGUGGGGAGAUGAGCAGAGACACCACUUCUCAAGCACCUGAUUAUUCUUUCUCAGUAUUUAGAAGCAAAAAUUAUCCUUAAGAAAAACAACCGCAAACGCAACACAGGCUACACAGAUGAGAAAAUGGGCUCAUGAAACACUGCACUAAACAGUCACAGGACCAAGAUAUAGAUUCCUAUUUCCAGGCUUGCAGAGCUCAAACCAUUACACCAUUCAGAAGCUGGCUUUGGUAUUACUUCAAGUUAUUCAAAACAGUCACCACUUGCUGAGCCUCUGAUGUCUCAUCUGUUGAAUGGGUACAUUUUCUUCCUGAUCCUUCCACCUCUAAACUUGUCUAUUUCCAAGGAUCUAUGGCAUCCAGGCAUAUGAUUUCAAGAGAGAAGGCUGAAAAGGAAGGUGACUGGAAUAUUAAGAACUGUGAGAUAUUCUGAGGAAACUCUAAUUUGUAAAUUGGUAGAAAUGCCAGUAAUUUGUUGGGAAUUGAAGACCCUCUGUAUUCAAGAGCGAAGCUUGGCAGCUGUGCACUGUUGUUUUAUAAAUCAAUAUUACAUCUGAAGGUGGUGUUUGAAUGUUUGUGUCAUUGGGGUUUGUCUCCAACAUAGUCCUGUGACAAGAAAUGUUCAAACAAAACAAACACAAUCCCUUCCCUGUCCUUUAGGAUAAAGUCCAAACGUAAUUCCACAACAGGGAUAUAACAUUCAAAUCAACUACAGAACUUCUGUAAUUAUAUAAAACCCCACGACCACAGAAAUGCAAUUGAAUUGAAGACACUUUGCAAUAUUCCCCAAGAAAGGACUGUGUGGCUGUCAGAUUAACAAAAGUCAAGAGGUGGUGAGACAAUGCUCACCAUUGCAAAAAAGAGCUUUGUGCAUAAUG
rnacentral:lncRNA from 1 species